rnacentral:rRNA from 1 species
GGGAACAUACCCUUUUCUACGGAAUAGCUCUGGGAAACUGGAAUUAAUACCGUAUACGCCCUACGGGGGAAAGAUUUAUCGGGGAUGGAUGAGCCCGCGUUGGAUUAGCUAGUUGGUGGGGUAAAGGCCUACCAAGGCGACGAUCCAUAGCUGGUCUGAGAGGAUGAUCAGCCACAUUGGGACUGAGACACGGCCCAAACUCCUACGGGAGGCAGCAGUGGGGAAUAUUGGACAAUGGGCGCAAGCCUGAUCCAGCCAUGCCGCGUGAGUGAUGAAGGCCUUAGGGUUGUAAAGCUCUUUCACCGGUGAAGAUAAUGACGGUAACCGGAGAAGAAGCCCCGGCUAACUUCGUGCCAGCAGCCGCGGUAAUACGAAGGGGGCUAGCGUUGUUCGGAAUUACUGGGCGUAAAGCGCACGUAGGCGGAUAUUUAAGUCAGGGGUGAAAUCCCAGAGCUCAACUCUGGAACUGCCUUUGAUACUGGGUAUCUUGAGUAUGGAAGAGGUAAGUGGAAUUGCGAGU